CUCUCUCUCAAUCAUCCCAUUUUCAAAGCCUUAGCAUUCUCUCUCUCUCGUUAUCUCAACGAACUUGGAAAGGUAAAGAAGGGCCUGCACGAGCCCAUGAGGGUUGAUACGGGCUUUUGCAUGGGUGUUACCUAUUUUUAGAGAAUCCAUGCCAAAUGUAAACCUGAAACCUAAAAAGAUGCGAUCUCUAGCAAAGGUCCUUUUAGAAUCUUCAAGGCCCUUUGAUGAUGGGUUGUAUAGAGCACUUGAUAUCUAUUUCAAGGUUUGAAUCCAUUCAUCGAUAUUUACUGUAGGUUGGAUUUGUAACUUGCUUUCCUUUUUACAAUGUUUUACCUUAGCAAGUUCUAACUUGCAGAAAAUGUCUUGUCUAGCUUGUUUGUUUUUGCGCCACAUAGAGAUAUAUCAUUAGGUGCUAAAUGACUAGUUCCAGUAGUUUAAAUAUGCAAUGAAAUAAUCUUGUGCAUGUAGCAUCACUUCGAUAACAUUUUUUUUUUACUCAAAUAAAUUAUAUCCUGCUUGCCAAAGAUUUUCAUUUGUUUCAAAUAUUUAGUCAUUCUGUUUCAAAUACUUAGGGCCCAAAAGGACGUGGGUAGGGGUAGUAAGAAAAGACUUGAUGACCUAUGGUCCAACUAAAGUUAUGGGCCUUGAUAGAGUGGAAUGGAGUGGAACAGGGUUCAUUUGGCUAACCCCCAUUAGCUGUGAGCCUGGUAUAAUGCUUAGAGGAUGAUGAUGAUGAUGAUAAAUUUGAUAACAUGUUUCUUUUUAUCUCAUCUGUUUCAAAUAUUUAAUUAUUCUGUUUUUGUGGUUCAUAAUGAUAUAAGUUAUCAUCCUAAUAUAUGUCAUUUUCUUAACUGUCCA